rnacentral:tRNA from 1 species
AUUCUCCUAGUAUAAUUUAAUACAAGUGACUUCCAAUCAUUUAAUCUUGGUUAAACCCCAAGGGAGAAUA